rnacentral:rRNA from 1 species
UACGAAGGGGGCUAGCGUUGUUCGGAAUCACUGGGCGUAAAGGGCGCGUAGGCGGCUUUGUAAGUCGGGGGUGAAAGCCUGUGGCUCAACCACAGAAUUGCCUUCGAUACUGCAUGACUAGAGUCCGGUAGGGGAGCGUGGAAUUCCUGGUGAUAGCGGUGAAAUGCGCAGAUAUCAGGAGGAACACCAACGGCGGAAGGCAGCGCUCUGGGCCGGAACUGACGCUGAGGAGCGAAAGCGUGGGGAGCAAACAGG